rnacentral:rRNA from 1 species
UACGUAGGGAGCGAGCGUUGUCCGGAAUUACUGGGCGUAAAGGGUGCGUAGGCGGCAUGGCAAGUCAGAUGUGAAAUCCCCGGACUUAACUCGGGAGUUGCAUUUGAAACUGCCGUGCUUGAGUGCAGGAGAGGAAAGCGGAAUUCCUAGUGUAGCGGUGAAAUGCGUAGAUAUUAGGAGGAACACCAGUGGCGAAGGCGGCUUUCUGGACUGUAACUGACGCUGAGGCACGAAAGCGUGGGGAGCAAACAGGAUUAGAUACCCU